rnacentral:rRNA from 1 species
UUGGAGGGCAAGUCUGGUGCCAGCAGCCGCGGUAAUUCCAGCUCCAAUAGCGUAUAUUAAAGUUGUUGCAGUUAAAAAGCUCGUAGUUGAAUUUCGGGGUUAGUAGGUUGGUCAUGCCUCUGGUAUGUACCGGUCUCACUGAUUCCUCCUUCCUGAUGAACCUUAAUGCCAUUUAUUUGGUGUUUUGGGGAAUUUGGACUGUUACUUUGAAAAAAUUAGAGUGUUUAAAGCAAGCUAACGCUUGAAUACAUUAGCAUGGAAUAAUGAAAUAGGACGUUCGAUCCUAUUUUGUUGGUUUCUAGGAUUGACGUAAUGAUUAAUAGGGAUAGUUGGGGGCAUUAGUAUUCAAUUGUCAGAGGUGAAAUUCUUGGAUUUAUUGAAGACUAACUACUGCGAAAGCAUUUGCCAAGGAUGUUUUCAUUAAUCAAGAACGAAAGUUAGGGGAUCGAAGACGAUCAGAUACCGUCGUAGUCUUAACCAUAAACUAUGCCGACUAGGGAUCGGAUGAUGUUAAUUUUUUAAUGACUCAUUCGGCGCCUUACGGGAAAC